UUUGGACGCUGGCGGCAGGCUUAACACAUGCAAGUCGAGCGGGGUGAUGGUGCUUGCACUAUCACUUAGCGGCGGACGGGUGAGAAAUGCUUAGGAAUCUGCCUAUUAGUGGGGGACAACAUCUCGAAAGGGAUGCUAAUACCGCAUACGUCCUACGGGAGAAAGCAGGGGAUCACUUGUGACCUUGCGCUAAUAGAUGAGCCUAAGUCGGAUUAGCUAGUCGGUGGGGUAAAGGCCUACCAAGGCGACGAUCUGUAGCGGGUCUGAGAGGAUGAUCCGCCACACUGGGACUGAGACACGGCCCAGACUCCUACGGGAGGCAGCAGUGGGGAAUAUUGGACAAUGGGGGGAACCCUGAUCCAGCCAUGCCGCGUGUGUGAAGAAGGCCUUAUGGUCGUAAAGCACUUUAAGCGAGGAGGAGGCUCUUUUGGUUAAUACCCAAGAUGAGUGGACGUUACUCGCAGAAUAAGCACCGGCUAACUCUGUGCCAGCCGCCGCAGUAA
rnacentral:rRNA from 1 species